rnacentral:rRNA from 1 species
CCUACGGGGUGCAGCAGUGAGGAAUAUUGGUCAAUGGCCGCAGGGCUGAACCAGCCAAGUCGCGUGAGGGAUGACGGUCCUAUGGAUUGUAAACCUCUUUUGUCAGGGAGCAAAGGGCGCCACGUGUGGCGUUUUGCGAGUACCUGAAGAAAAAGCAUCGGCUAACUCCGUGCCAGCAGCCGCGGUAAUACGGAGGAUGCGAGCGUUAUCCGGAUUUAUUGGGUUUAAAGGGUGCGCAGGCGGAAUGUCAAGUCAGCCGGAAAAUUUCGGGGCUCAACCCCGUCGUGCCGGUUAAAAUGGGCGUUCUGAGUGAGCGAGAAGUAUGCGGAAUGCGUGGUGUAGCGGUGAAAUGCAUAGAUAUCACGCAGAACUCCGAUUGCGAAGGCAGCAUACCGGCGCUCAACUGACGCUCAUGCACGAAAGCGUGGGUAUCGAACAGGAUUAGAUACCCCUGUAGUC